GACGAACGCUGGCGGCGUGCCUAAUACAUGCAAGUCGAGCGGAUCUCUUCGGAGAUCGGCGGCGGACGGGUGAGUAACACGUGGGCAACCUGCCUGUAAGACUGGGAUAACUCCGGGAAACCGGGGCUAAUACCGGAUAACCCUUCGGACCUCAUGGUCCGGAGCUGAAAGACGGUUAUGCUGCCACUUACAGAUGGGCCCGCGGCGCAUUAGCUAGUUGGUGAGGUAACGGCUCACCAAGGCGACGAUGCGUAGUCGACCUGAGAGGGUGAUCGGCCACACUGGGACUGAGACACGGCCCAGACUCCUACGGGAGGCAGCAGUAGGGAAUCUUCCGCAAUGGACGAAAGUCUGACGGAGCAACGCCGCGUGAGUGAAGAAGGUUUUCGGAUCGUAAAACUCUGUUGUUAGGGAAGAACAAGUACGAGAGUAACUGCUCGUACCUUGACGGUACCUAACCAGAAAGCCACGGCUAACUACGUGCCAGCAGCCGCGGUAACAC
rnacentral:rRNA from 1 species